rnacentral:rRNA from 1 species
AUUGAACGCUGGCGGCAGGCCUAACACAUGCAAGUCGAACGGUACAGGGAGGAGCUUGCUUCUUUGCCGACUGGCGGCCGGCGGGGUAAUAAUUGUUUGGCAACCGCCUGAUUGUGGGGGAUAACCACUGGAAACGGUCGCUUAUACCGCAUAACCUCCCCAUGCCCAAGGGGGGGGCCUUCGGGCCUGCUGCCGUCGGUUGUGUCCAGGUGGGUUUGGCUAGUAGGUGGGGUAACGGCUUCCCUAGGCGACGAUCCCUUGCUGGACUGAGAGGAUGACCAGCCACACUGGAACUGAGACACGGUCCAGACUCCUGCGGGAGGCAGCAGUGGGGAAUAUUGCACAAUGGGCGCAAGCCUGAUGCAGCCAUGCCGCGUGUAUGAAGAAGGCGUUCGGGUUGUAAAGUACUUUCAGCGGGGAGGAAGGGAGUAAAGUUAAUACCUUUGCUCAUUGACGUUACCCGCGGAAGAAGCACCGGCUAACUCCGUG